AGAAAAUAAUAGACCUAAUAAUAAUAAAAUUCCUAAACAAUAAAAACUCUUUAAAUUUCCUAAUUCUAUAAUAAUUAAAAUUCCUAAAUAAAAUUCUAAGCUUCCUAUUCUGAAUUAAAUGGGUUUAUAUUUCCUGAAGUGAUUUUAUAUUUUUGUCCUUGGGUCAGCAGAUUUCUUUGUCAAUGUGAAAUUUAACUAGGAGAUGUAUAAUGUAAGAUUGAGUUUAAUUAUUAUCCUCUAGCAGUUUAUAAUGCUUAUCUAUACAAUAAGGUUUCAUGUUCUUAUGAAGAAAUGGCAAUUUUAUUUUUUUAUUUAUUUCUUUAUCUAUAAGCGGUGUUGGUAUAGGUUGCAUUGCUCCAGCAAGUAGU
rnacentral:misc_RNA from 1 species